rfam:Ovis aries breed Texel chromosome 12, whole genome shotgun sequence.
UCCCUGGUAGUCCAGUGGUUGAGACUUUGCCUUCUAAUGCAGAGAGUAUGGGUUCCAUCCCUGUUCAGGGAG